rnacentral:rRNA from 1 species
CCUACGGGGGGCAGCAGUAGGGAAUUUUCGUCAAUGGGCGCAAGCCUGAACGAGCAAUGCCGCGUGAACGAGGAAGGUCUUCGGAUCGUAAAGUUCUGUUGAAGGGGAAAAAGAGCGGAGCGAGGAAAUGCUUUCUGAUUGAUAUUACCCUUCGAGGAAGUCACGGCUAACUACGUGCCAGCAGCCGCGGUAAUACGUAGGUGGCGAGCGUUGUUCGGAAUUACGGGGCGUAAAGGGAGUGUAGGCGGAUAUGUAAGAUAGCGGUGAAAUGCCGGGGCUCAACCCCGGAACUGCCAUUAUGACUAUGUAUCUAGAGUAAUGGAGAGGAUAGCGGAAUACCCAGUGUAGAGGUGAAAUUCGUAGAUAGUGGGUAGAACACCGGUGGCGAAGGCGGCUAUCUGGCCAUUUACUGACGCUGAGGCUCGAAAGCAUGGGGAUCAAACAGGAUUAGAUACCCGGGUAGUC